GACGAACGCUGGCGGCGUGCUUAACACAUGCAAGUCGAACGGAAAGGCCCUGCUUUUGUGGGGUGCUCGAGUGGCGAACGGGUGAGUAACACGUGAGUAACCUGCCCUUGACUUUGGGAUAACUUCAGGAAACUGGGGCUAAUACCGGAUAGGAGCUCCUGCUGCAUGGUGGGGGUUGGAAAGUUUCGGCGGUUGGGGAUGGACUCGCGGCUUAUCAGCUUGUUGGUGGGGUAGUGGCUUACCAAGGCUUUGACGGGUAGCCGGCCUGAGAGGGUGACCGGCCACAUUGGGACUGAGAUACGGACCAGACUCCUACGGGAGGCAGCAGUGGGGAAUAUUGCACAAUGGGCGGAAGCCUGAUGCAGCAACGCCGCGUGCGGGAUGACGGCCUUCGGGUUGUAAACCGCUUUCGCCUGUGCCGAAGCGUGAGUGACGGUAAUGGGUCAAGAAGCACCGGCUAACUACGUG
rnacentral:rRNA from 1 species